rnacentral:rRNA from 1 species
AUUGAACGCUGGCGGCAUGCCUUACACAUGCAAGUCGAACGGCAGCACGGGAGCAAUCCUGGUGGCGAGUGGCGAACGGGUGAGUAAUAUAUCGGAACGUGCCCGGUCGUGGGGGAUAACGUAGCGAAAGCUACGCUAAUACCGCAUACGAUCUACGGAUGAAAGCGGGGGAUCGCAAGACCUCGCGCGAUUGGAGCGGCCGAUAUCAGAUUAGGUAGUUGGUGAGGUAAAGGCUCACCAAGCCGACGAUCUGUAGCUGGUCUGAGAGGACGACCAGCCACACUGGGACUGAGACACGGCCCAGACUCCUACGGGAGGCAGCAGUGGAGAAUUUUGGACAAUGGGCGCAAGCCUGAUCCAGCAAUGCCGCGUGCAGGAUGAAGGCCUUCGGGUUGUAAACUGCUUUGUACGGAACGAAACGGUGAGCUCUAAUACAGUUUGCUAAUGACGGUACCGUAAGAAUAAGCACCGGCUAACUACGUG